CGGUUCCCCUUCUGGGCUCCUCGGUCAGUCGGGGGGCGAAACGUAAGCAAAUGUACAGUAUAGAGUACAGUAAAGGAGAGAGAAGCCGGCCAAGCGGCCGGCGCGCCGAUUUCCGCAUAACAACACGCUGCAAGCGUCAAUUUUACCUCAGGUCUGAGGCGGUUUGGCGAAGGUAGAAGCGAAGGUUGAGCAGGAAAUUAUGUCGGCCUCAAACUCGUUUGAAAAGAGGUGGCGAUCACAAGUUGGGUUUUCAUUCGCUCGUAACUUCGAGAGAGAAGGCUAAAGCACGUAUGGAUCCACGGCUUAAUGCUGUUUUUGUCAGGGUCCUAAUGCAAUGGAGGAGGUGAAGGAGGGAGAGGCGAUGCCGUGCUCAGCUCCAGCAGGAGGCUACACCUGAGGGACAUGGUCAAGUGGAGCCAGAGCAUGAACAGGAGGGUCAGGAGGAGAGGCCCAGACAAUGAAGGCAAAUUGCCAGAGCUGGGGUUCAUCAUAGAAGAGUCUCCUAUUUACAAAUGCGCUUGACCCAAUCUCUGGUACAUCACAUAUACCACAUUCUUCAUGAAGA